AUUGAACGCUGGCGGCAGGCCUAACACAUGCAAGUCGAACGAGUGGCGGACGGGUGAGUGUUAUGUGUGAAACUGUCCGCUGGGGGGGGAUAACUACUCUAGACGGUAUCUCAUACAGCAUACCCCCGGAUAUGUGCCGAUGGGGUUAGCUUGUAGGUGGGGUAACGGCUCACCUAGGCGACGAUCCCUAGCUGUUCUGAGAGGAUGACCAGCCACACUGGAACUGAGACACGGUCCAGACUCCUACGGGAGGCAGCAGUGGGGAAUAUUGCACAAUGGGCGCAAGCCUGAUACAGCAAUGCCGCGUGUAUGAAGAAGGCCUUCGGGUUGUAAAGUACUUUCAGCGAGGAGGCGUUACCCACAGAAGAAGCACCGGCUAACUCCGUGCCAGCCGCCGCGGUAAUAC
rnacentral:rRNA from 1 species